rnacentral:tRNA from 1 species
GGGAUUAGCUCAGCUGGUUAGAGCGUUUGGUUUACACCCAAGAGGUCAUUGGUUCAAAUCCAAUAUCCUGC